rnacentral:tRNA from 1 species
GGGGUAGUAGCUCACCUGGUAGAGCGACAGGUUCGCAAUCUGUAGGUAGACGGUUCGAGUCCGUUCUACUCCA